UGAACGCUGGCGGCGUGCUUAACACAUGCAAGUCGAACGAUGAUCCCAGCUUGCUGGGGGAUUAGUGGCGAACGGGUGAGUAACACGUGAGUAACCUGCCCUUGACUCUGGGAUAAGCCUGGGAAACUGGGUCUAAUACCGGAUACGACCAUUCCACGCAUGUGGUGGUGGUGGAAAGCUUUUGUGGUUUUGGAUGGACUCGCGGCCUAUCAGCUUGUUGGUGGGGUAAUGGCCUACCAAGGCGACGACGGGUAGCCGGCCUGAGAGGGUGACCGGCCACACUGGGACUGAGACACGGCCCAGACUCCUACGGGAGGCAGCAGUGGGGAAUUUUCCGCAAUGGGCGAAAGCCUGACGGAGCAACGCCGCGUGAGGGAUGAAGGCCUCUGGGCUGUAAACCCCUUUUCUCAAGGAAGAAGAUCUGACGGUACUUGAGGAAUAAGCCACGGCUAAUUCCGCGCCAGCAG
rnacentral:rRNA from 1 species